CAGCAGCCGCGGUAAUACGGAGGGUGCAAGCGUUGUUCGGAAUUACUGGGCGUAAAGCGCGCGUAGGCGGUUUUAUAAGUCAGAUGUGAAAGCCCAUGGCUCAACCAUGGACGUGCAUUUGAAACUGUGAGACUUGAGUAUUGGAGGGGGUGGUGGAAUUCCCGGUGUAGAGGUGAAAUUCGUAGAUAUCGGGAGGAAUACCAGUGGCGAAGGCGACCACCUGGCCAAAUACUGACACUCAUGUGCGAAAGCGUGGGGAGCAAACAGGAUUAGAUACCCUGGUAGUCCACGCCGUAAACGAUGUCAACUAGGUGUUGGGACGGUUAAUCGUCUCAUUGCCGCAGCUAACGCAUUAAGUUGACCGCCUGGGGAGUACGGUCGCAAGAUUAAAACUCAAAGGAAUUGACGG
rnacentral:rRNA from 1 species